GGGCGUUUGGUCUAGUGGU
rnacentral:siRNA from 1 species